GAGUUUGAUCAUGGCUCAGGAUGAACGCUGGCGGCGUGGAUAAGGCAUGCAAGUAGAACGCCCCGCAAGGGGAGUCGCGAACGAGGUAGUAAUACAUAGGUACAAACCCCCGAGUCAGGAAUAACCUACCGAAAGGUAGGCUAAUACUUGAUAGUCCCGCAAGGGUAAAGAUUUAUCGCUUGGGGAUUGGCCUGUGCAGUAUCAGCUAGUUGGUAGGGUAAUAGCCUACCAAGGCAAUGACGCUUAGGGGAGGUGAGAGCCUGGCCCCCACCGAUGGUACUGAGACACGGACCAUACACCUACGGGUGGCUGCAGUCGAGAAUCUUCCGCAAUGGACGCAAGUCUGACGGAGCGACGCCGCGUGACUGAUGAAGUCUUUCGGGAUGUAAAGGUCUUUUAUGAAGGAGAAAGUUUUGAUAGUACUUCAUGAAUAAGGGGUUGCUAAACUCGUGCCAGCAGCAGCGGUAAUACGAGUACCCCAAGCGUUAUCCGGAAUUAUUGGGCGUAAAGGGUAUGUAGGUUGUUAUGUUAGUCUUUUGUCAAAGCCUUCGGCUCAACCGGAGAAUUGCGGGAGAAACGGCAUAACUAGAGGGCGCGAGAGGUUUGCGGAACUCAUGGUGUAGGGGUGAAAUCCGUUGAUAUCAUGGGGAACACCAAAAGCGAAGGCAGCAA
rnacentral:rRNA from 1 species